rnacentral:lncRNA from 1 species
UUGCAUCAACAUGUCCGCUUCGUGUCUAUCCACGCAUCUGAGCAGAACCGUGUCAAAGUUCCUCUUGUACAACAUAUCAUCCUGAUUCAAAUAAAAGCUUCCAGCUAGCCUUCUCAGGGUUUUCUUGUCAUUCUUAGACGCUCCUUCAGGAUAUUCCUGGCUCUUGAGGAAGUUCUUGAUAUCAUAGUACCACGGCUUCUUAUCAACAACAGACUCGGCUACAAACACAUACGCAGGCCUCUCAAGUC